rnacentral:piRNA from 1 species
CGGGUGUUGUAGGUUUUUCUUUUUC